GCAGAAUCGGACUUUGAUCAUUGGAGCUAUUUUCGGUCACUUUUAUCCAAAAUAUUCAAUUUUUCGGCAUUUUCGCAACUGGGUAAGCAAUUUCCAACCUUUCUUUUAGUAAUGUAUGUUGUUUUUCGAAUUUGAUAGAAGGAUUGAGCAUAAAUCAAAGUUUAUGAAGGGAUUUUCAUUUCUAGCUUUUAUUCAUGCUAUUUUAUUAGAGAAAUUUAAUUCUUCAUACUAAAUUUAGGCUAUAACUAAUUUAAUGAGCAAUUUAGUACAAUUAGGAUUAACUUCUCAAGUAAUGUUAAAAAAAUUUACUUAGAUGAUUAUUGCUAUGAAUCAUGAUAUCGGAGGAAAAACUAGGUGCUAAGCUAAUGUUGAACAAAAUUCUAGGAGAAGGAUUUAAAUUGUUAUGCAAUUGAAGCUAUGAGUUGAAUCCUUAUAAAGUGAAGGUUAGAUUAUUGUCACAAUUGCUUCUGCAUUAUUCUAUUACUUGAACCUUGAGAAUUGAUGCGAUAACUAAAUUUCUUGACGAAUGGCGAUAUUGUUAUUUAAAGGAGGACGGGUAUUCGAUUUGAUUGAUUGCCCGACGGAUGGGCUGUGUGCAUUGAUUGAUAAAGAUAUGAUAAUAUUGUGAUAUUUGAGCAGGUAGAUAGUCCAAUUUUUAGGGGAGGUGCUGCCGAAAUUUCGAUAGAACUUAGAUUAAUUUUAAUUAACAACAUAAUUAAUAAGUUUAUUUAGGUUAGUUCUAUAACUUGGUGUGAUCGCUUGAUGAUCUAGAAUGGAUGGAGACCACCGGGUUGCCUCCUGUUGGUAUGAAAAAGAAAAGAGAGGAUAGAAAAACAAUGAGAGGGCUGGUCAAGUGAGGAUUANNNNNNNNNNNNNNNNNNNNNNNNNNNNNNNNNNCCACUGACUAAUUUCCACGUGAUGUGAUUAUUUGAAGGUGAUAUUGUUUGUGAGUGCUGGUGACAUGCCAUUUGUGUGACUGGCUGCGUGAGCAUAUAACUAGUCGGAUGACUAGAUUGAUAUGUUUACACAUUUGUGUGACUGCGUGUGUUGUGCAAUAAUUAUUACUCCUUAGAAAACUCACAUGUCUUGUUUGAUUUUUUCAGGAAGUAAGUUUUUCUUUAAUCCGAUUUAGGCUAUGUUUCUUCGGCGCAGGGCAAUAGAGAAAUUUUCCUAGUUCCAUAAUUAUUUCACUAUGUAAUUAUGUGUAUAAAAAGCUAUGUAUACCAAAGAGUUAGUGACUCCGCAGUUGUAGGAUUUACCUAUAUUUAGUCGUGUACUAACGUAGACAAAAUAAUUCUGUAAGCCAUAUUAGAAUGUGAUGUAUUGUAAACUGGGCCCGAACUAUAGAAUGCUGUAGAAGAAAAACUUGGGCCGAGAACUAAUAAAAUGUUGAAAUUUAUACCGAGG
rnacentral:lncRNA from 1 species